GUAUUCAAAGCUCACAGUGGUUGAGUCUUAAGAUGCAUCAAGACAUUGAUUUGUACAAGACAGACAUAAAAGAUUAGUGAGUGUGUUUUAAUUCUUGUUUUGGCCCUUCAUAACUAUGGCCCACUGAAAACAAACUCAGAGAUUAUAGUGAUGCCUUAGCCAUGCCUUGCUUGAAGAGAUCAUCUUUGAGACUGCAAGGCAACCUUGCAGUUAACUGUAGCUAAUGAAAUCAAUGCCAUAUGUUCUUGGGGAAAUUCGGUCUAAGAUCACACCCCAGUGAGAAAAGUUAGUUUGCUAACAGAUACGAGGCCUUGAAAAAGAGCCCUUAUAUAUGCAAGUACAUUUCAAGUGACAGGACUGAUAUAAUAUGGCACCUUAUUGUCAGAGUUCCACAUCUUUCUAUUAUUCCUUGACAGAAACAUGAGGAGAGCCGUCCUGAAAUCUACAAGGCCCUGGAAGCAUGGCCAACUGCCUCUGUUGCCGUGUUCUGGCACAGUGUCAAGGAGGGAAGGCUCAAGUCAUUCUGCUGCUGGAUUCAAACAUCAUAACGUACAGGGAUGUGACCUUGGCACAUUGCUUCAUUCUGUGUGUCCCAAUUAAUUUCAUGAAAAAGGUGGAUGCAUUUGCUUUAUUGGAAUUAGAUAGGCUUAUAUUCCAGUGUAACUCAUGAUUCAUCAUUUAGUAAUAUGAUUAUGUAAGUAGGAAAAACAAGUCGUCUGUGUACAACUCUAGAAAAUUCUUUCACAUUCCUUGCUUUAUCUCAUUUCAACCAAUUAUUUUUAAUGUGACUCUGCUUUUCACUUUGUUAUAAGAGGUAAAUAGGAUACGUUGUUGAGAGCAACUAGAGGGUUAAGGUAGAUUUUAUCACCCCCUCUACAGAUGGGUCUGCAGAUAGAUACAUGUCUAGGCCAGUAGGUGGCAGGAAAGGAGCCAAACUAUAUUUUCUUAAACUCUGGUGUACUGAGUAGAAAAAUUGUCUUGGUGAGUAGUAUGGAAAAGUAAUUCAGGUCAGAGGUAAUUUUAGUUUAGCCUCUCUGGAAAUACCAUCCAUUGCUCCUCAAUAACACAGAUUGACACUCUCAGCACAAUAAACCAGAUGUGUAGCUGUCCAUGCUCUUCUCCCUUCUAUUAUCUGUUCUUUUAUUGACCAGUACUACCUUUUGGAAUACUACUUGUAAACUAAAGUUUUACCACUGUGUAUUAUAUUUUUUUUUUGCUAAAUAGCCACCUAGUCCCACAUUCAAAAGGCCUUUGGUUAGCUAUGCCACUUCAGAUUACAGGAUCUGUGGGAUUACCUUUUAUAUUCUAAAUCAGAUACAUGAAAAUGUAGUUUUU